rnacentral:rRNA from 1 species
UACGUAGGCAGCGAGCGUUGUUCGGAGUUACUGGGCGUAAAGCGUGCGUAGGCGGUGGUCCAAGUCUGGUGUGAAAUCUCCCGGCUUAACUGGGAGGGUGCGCCGGAAACUGGGCCGCUGGAGUACGGGAGAGGCAAGCGGAAUUCCAGGUGUAGCGGUGAAAUGCGUAGAUAUCUGGAGGAACACCGGUGGCGAAGGCGGCUCUCUGGGCCUGUCCUGACGCUCAUGCGCGAAAGCUAGGGGAGCAAACAGG